GGCAGCCAUGUCAGGACACGGACCAAGUUUUCUGUACUGGUGACUGGUCCAAUUUUCACACCUUCCGUAUUAUAGCUUCCAAAUUCCAAUAAUUAAGGCUGGAAAUGAAAUCUCAGGAAAUGUAUUAACGAUAAUGACAUCUCCCGGUGAUGUGUUUAGGUCUGUUAAUGGCUCUCUUAUUAAUAAAAGUUCAUCCCCAUCACGUGGACAAAAGAGGCGCGAGGAACCAGGAAAUAUCCAGACGAGCUACAGAAGCGCCGUUGCAAAGACAAAGACUUUCCUGAACCAGAAAUGUGAUCAAGAGUUAAAGAUGUAACAACAAGAGGAAGAAGAUAAUGUAACGAGCAAGUGAGUGUUUCAAAGGCACCGUGUCCACACUGGCUAAAGCAACGUGACCUGAAACCUUCGGUUUAAGUCUCAUCACUCGUUCAUACAUUACUUCAACCUAUUGAAAGAACUCCUACAGCUCUCAGUCAUGAAGUUCACCUAAAUACAAUAGAGACGAUCUUGGUAUUAGUGAAGGAGAGAUUCUGGAGAUAUACGUCAGAUUUCGAACAAGAGGAGAGUCAGAUACGUCAGAUUUCGAACAAGAGAUGAGAGUUGCUGGAGAUAAACGUCAGAUUUCGAACAAGAGACGAGAGUUGCUGAAGAUAUGAAAUCAAAUUUGUCAGUUUUCGAACGAUAGAAGAGAGGUGCUGGAAUUAUACGUAAUAUAAAUCAGAUUUCGAACAAAAGGAGAGAGAGCUGCUGAAGAAAUGUCAGGAUUCGAACAA